GGGAUUUUAAAAAUCGUGCAAGGAAGAGACAGCGAUGACCACUUGCCACAGGAACUGCCGAGGCUCAGACUGGUAAGACUUCCAGCUCUUCAAAUAAUUCACUAAGGCAAAAGUGAGGACUGCGGAUGCUGGAGGUCAGAGUCAAGACUUGAGUGGUGCUGGAAAAGCACAGCGGGUCAGGCAGCAUCCGAGGAGCAGGAAAAUCAACGUUUCGGGCAAAAGCCCUUCAUCAGCCCUUCAGAAAUAAUUCACUAAUCUAUUUUCUUUCAGUCAAAAACAAUUGGCCUCAUAAUUAAAUGGAUGAAAUUCA